GCCAGCAGCCAUUUCACCCUGCAGCUCACAGCUGGCAGCCCACUGAAGCUCAGCAGGUGUGAGCCUGGUCAGUACCUGGAUAGGAGACCUCCUAGGAAAAACUAAGGUUGCUGCUGGAA
rfam:Lepisosteus oculatus linkage group LG2, whole genome shotgun sequence.